rnacentral:rRNA from 1 species
UGAGGAAUAUUGGACAAUGGGCGCAAGCCUGAUCCAGCCAUGCCGCGUGAGUGAUGAAGGCCCUAGGGUUGUAAAGCUCUUUCACCGGUGAAGAUAAUGACGGUAACCGGAGAAGAAGCCCCGGCUAACUUCGUGCCAGCAGCCGCGGUAAUACGAAGGGGGCUAGCGUUGUUCGGAAUUACUGGGCGUAAAGCGCACGUAGGCGGAUUGUUUAGUCAGGGGUGAAAUCCCGAGGCUCAACCUCGGAACUGCCCUUGAUACUGGCAAUCUUGAGUCCGGGAGAGGUGAGUGGAAUUCCGAGUGUAGAGGUGAAAUUCGUAGAUAUUCGGAGGAACACCAGUGGCGAAGGCGGCUCACUGGCCCGGUACUGACGCUGAGGUGCGAAAGCGUGGGGAGCAAACAGGAUUAGAUACCCGGGUAGUCC